UACGGGGGGGGUAAGCGUUGUUCGGAAUUACUGGGCGUAAAGGGCUCGUAGGCGGCCAACUAAGUCAGACGUGAAAUCCCUCAGCUUAACUGGGGAACUGCGUCUGAUACUGGAUGGCUUGGAUUCGGGAGAGGAAUGCGGAAUUCCAGGUGUAGCGGUGAAAUGCGUAGAUAUCUGGAGGAACACCGGUGGCGAAGGCGGCAUCCUGGACCGGCAUUGACGCUGAGGCGCGAAAGCCAGGGGAGCAAACAGG
rnacentral:rRNA from 1 species